rnacentral:tRNA from 1 species
GGGGAUUUAGCUCAGUGGUAGAGCGCUUGCCUAGCAAGCACAAGGCCCUGGGUUCGAUCCUCAGCUCCG